rnacentral:rRNA from 1 species
GAUGAACGCUGGCGGCGUGCCUAAUACAUGCAAGUCGAGCGAACAGACGAGGAGCUUGCUCCUCUGACGUUAGCGGCGGACGGGUGAGUAACACGUGGAUAACCUACCUAUAAGACUGGGAUAACUUCGGGAAACCGGAGCUAAUACCGGAUAAUAUAUUGAACCGCAUGGUUCAAUAGUGAAAGACGGUUUUGCUGUCACUUAUAGAUGGAUCCGCGCCGCAUUAGCUAGUUGGUAAGGUAACGGCUUACCAAGGUAACGAUGCGUAGCCGACCUGAGAGGGUGAUCGGCCACACUGGAACUGAGACACGGUCCAGACUCCUACGGGAGGCAGCAGUAGGGAAUCUUCCGCAAUGGGCGGAAGCUUGACGGAGCAACGCCGCGUGAGUGAUGAAGGUCUUCGGAUCGUAAAACUCUGUUAUUAGGGAAGAACAAAUGUGUAAGUAACUAUGCACGUCUUGACGGUACCUAAUCAGAAAGCCACGGCUAACUACGUG